rnacentral:rRNA from 1 species
GAUGAACGCUGGCGGCGUGCCUAAUACAUGCAAGUAGAACGCUGAAAGAGGAGCUUGCUCUUCUGGAUGAGUUGCGAACGGGUGAGUAACGCGUAGGUAACCUGCCUGGUAGCGGGGGAUAACUAUUGGAAACGAUAGCUAAUACCGCAUGACAACAGUUAUUGCAUGAUAACUGUUUAAAAGGGGCAACUGCUCCACUACCAGAUGGACCUGCGUUGUAUUAGCUAGUUGGUGAGGUAACGGCUCACCAAGGCGACGAUACAUAGCCGACCUGAGAGGGGGAUCGGCCACACUGGGACUGAGACACGGCCCAGACUCCUACGGGAGGCAGCAGUAGGGAAUCUUCGGCAAUGGACGGAAGUCUGACCGAGCAACGCCGCGUGAGUGAAGAAGGUUUUCGGAUCGUAAAGCUCUGUUGUAAGAGAAGAACGAGUGUGAGAGUGGAAAGUUCACACUGUGACGGUAUCUUACCAGAAAGGGACGGCUAACUACGUG